rnacentral:rRNA from 1 species
AUGAAUUGAUAAUAAAAUCAUUUAGUAUUUUUAUUUCUUUGUUGGGGCAACAAGAAAACAAAAAACUUUUCUUUUGUAACAAACUAAUAAAACAGAUUUUUCAAAAAAGAAACAAUUACCAUAGGGAUAACAGCAUAAUUUUGAAAGAAGUUUGUG